GACGAACGCUGGCGGCGUGCUUAACACAUGCAAGUCGAACGGAAAGGCCCUGCUUUUGUGGGGUGCUCGAGUGGCGAACGGGUGAGUAACACGUGAGUAACCUGCCCUUGACUUUGGGAUAACUUCAGGAAACUGGGGCUAAUACCGGAUAGGAGCUCCUGCUGCAUGGUGGGGGUUGGAAAGUUUCGGCGGUUGGUGAUGGACUCGCGGCUUAUCAGCUUGUUGGUGGGGUAGUGGCUUACCAAGGCUUUGACGGGUAGCCGGCCUGAGAGGGUGACCGGCCACAUUGGGACUGAGAUACGGCCCAGACUCCUACGGGAGGCAGCAGUGGGGAAUAUUGCACAGUGGGCGGAAGCCUGAUGCAGCAACGCCGCGUGCGGGAUGACGGCCUUCGGGUUGUAAACCGCUUUCGCCUGUGACGAAGCGUGAGUGACGGUAAUGGGUAAAGAAGCACCGGCUAACUACGUG
rnacentral:rRNA from 1 species